AUUGAGGGUCGGGUUUGGCUUAAAAUAAACCUCAAAGCUUUUGUGAGAAGACUUCAGUUUGCUCGCUCGGUUGAGGUGGAGGGACGGCUGCUGUCAUGCUUUAUUGACAACCUCAAUAAAAAAGUUCUGGCGGGUCAAAAGGAAAGAAAAAAAAUGAACAGAUGGAUCCUGCACUUGAGUCGGACAUUUUGGCCCCCCAUCAAUCAGCCUGGACUUUCUCCCUCAGUGACCCAACAGUAACACAAGACUUUACCUAAGACUCUUUUCCACUUCAAUGCAAACCUAUUUUUUACUAGCUGUUUACUUGAUUUCCCGUUUAGAACAUUGAUUGACUGCUGUGUUUCUGUGUAAGGGUAUUAAAGCUAGUUUACUCAUUUGAUCACGCUGUUCACAGCUGUUCGUCUUUGGUCUCAUAUUACACACAGCUGGACUCAUCGGUUGCCUGUUGAGUAAGUUGAGUCACGCAGGUUUGUUUUGAUGUGACAUAUUUGGGUAAUAUUUGAGUGUUUGGAGCCAAGGGUGCAUCCAGACUUUUUGAGUUGGGUGGCUCAGCUGGGGCACCGAUUAAGUUUGUAUGCACACACCCAUAAACGAAUAACAUUAGCUUACCCUCACUACACCCAUUGAAUAUAUCUACUUUAGUUCUAUUAUGAAUCUGUGUAUAACUUUUCAAACUUUAUUAAAUCGCUUUUAAUUUGGGAAGAACUGAUUCUUCUCCUGCACACAAGUCCAAAGUAAAAAGCCAAUAGUAGUUUAGGAUACUACAGCAUGAGUGGUUUUGGUAAAUAGUGAAGGUUUUUUUUUUUUUAAGCUUGUGCAGUGGUGUGUGUUUUGUAACACACAGCCUUGGUGAGUAACACCCAUUUAGUUAGUUUCUUGUGUUAAUAUAGUUGACACAAUGCACUUGAAUUCAAUGGAUAAAUAUUUGUAUUAUUUUGGAUUUAUGGUGUGCAAUUGUGGUGUUUAUCUUUGCAGUACAAAUGAUUUAUUCAUUGUUUUAAGGGUGGGGCUGUUACGGCUGUGUGUUUGUUUUGCAUGUGUUUUUCCCCUUUUGUCUCUCCAUAGCUGCCCAGGUGAAAUCACUUGAGUGCCAAUCAGACUCACCUGGUGCUGGGAGUCUAAAAGCCCAGAGCUGUCUGCAGUCUGGAGAGGCAUUUGGUGGGGAACUGCUGCCCUGCUGCCUCUCAUUUGUGUUGUGGGUGCUUUGUGUCUAGUUUGCUAUUUUGUUAUUUUGUCACAAUAAAUCACGUGUUAAACAUUUGAAGGUGUUUGUUAAUUUAAUGGGUCAAAAGUUGAGGAUUGUUGUUAGCCCCAUAGGGCCGCCUAAGGGUGGGGCGUAACAACUUUAAUAGGGCGCUCACACCAAGCACAAGUAAAAUCAUAUUCGUUCGAAUCUAGACGCGUGAAUGAAUGGUAUUUACUCGCUUCAUUCGCGCGUCAACGGUAAUUUCAACGGUAAUCCCUGCCAACUCAACCCGCGGGAUCAACAGACAAAUCUUUUUUACAAUUUACCAGGUAAUCCAACCUCCUCACUUACUUCUUUCCAGACGGGCUCCUUUUUAUUCCGGUUUCGGUAAUUGAAAGAAAAGAUAUCAUGUAAUUCGGGGCACCAAGACACCGACUCGAUCAGUUUGUUCUCCAUUUUAGAUACCACUGAACAACCGUCAGUUUUCAUACAUCUGACACCCUCGUGCUCAGUAGUUAUCACGACUCAAGUUGAGAUUCGCCCAAUUUGCGUCAUCCGCGCCAGUCGUACAAGCAUCUAACCAUCUCUUUGCGUUGACUUAACAUGUAAUUCAUUCGCGUGAAUGAUUUUACUCGCGCUUGGUGUUACUGUGUAAACAUAUUUCAGGUUUCCUGCAAACGUUCUUUGAAGGGAUACCUAAGAAUUAUACUCCUGCCUCUAUAGGUUACAAAUGAUCAUGCUCCUCUUAUUUAAAGACAGGGUUUUCUUUUUCAUUGACAUUCACAGUGAGUCGAGGCAUUUUCCCACAUCCUUUGUCAAUGUUAAGGUCUGCCCACCACUCAUGAAAAUUGAUGAGCAUAUCUUUGAACUAAAGAUACCCAGCUUGCUAACUCUAACCAAAGUGAACCUUUUGCAUCAAACUUCAAAGCUGUCAAGUCCGCACACCUCCUGCUUUUGAGGUAACAGCUGAUCAGACUUUAUAUUGUGACAGUUACACAAACCGGUGGCUGUGUUAGUAAAAUUCUGACUGAUUUGGGCAAAUCAAAAAGUGUUAGCCAAGGAAUGGAUGUAGAAAUAAGCGGGCAAAUUAUCCCCUCUCCUCCCAUGAUGCAUGACUUCAGGGUCGGUUCCUUUGAGCAGCGACAGACCACUCCAGAUUAGUUCUUGUUCUGCACACCAGAGCCUGGCAGAAAUCUCCUGCCAGCAGCAGCGGGAAGGCACAGCCGAGUUCCUAAAUCCUGCAGUCAACAGCCACCCAGCUCCGUCUGCACUACUCCUGGCCUUGAUUACAAAUUGUGUGCCAUGGUGGCUGGCUCCAGAAAGGGGGCCACAUGGAAAUAUUCAAUUAUGCUGGACUGGAUGGCUGAGAGUACUGCCGGGAUUUAGAAAUUUGUCAUCUACAUGAAGUUAUCAAUAAACGACAAAAUUCAGUGUUUUAGAAGUGACAGGCUGUACAAGCGAGUCCUCCUCAAACGUUGUCUUCCAGGCUGAUGGUUCUAUUUUUCUCCUGUCCCUCUCUAAAGUGAAAGCUUAUAGAUUCAGAUUCAAUUUCAUCAUUAGACUGCCAGAGCCCUCAGGAAAGAUAGAUGCAAAUAGCUUUCAUCCUAUAACCUACAAUGGCUCAAAGACCAAUAUAGGUAUCCCAGACAAUGGACGUGAUUAAUUGCAAUCCCAUGCUCCUCUUCUUUUGCCUCAGUCCACAAUCUCCACAAUCGAACGUCAACAGAGCAUUAGAGGAAGCUUAGGACAAAUAUGAGGAAACACAACGCCAUUUUUUUCUCUGUAAAUUAAAUUAACAUAUUGACUUGGCUGAAUUGAACCAUCACCAUUAUUACCUCAGGUUACUGUUGAUUGGCUAACAUGAAUUAGCUAAGGUGCAGAAAAAAAUCAAAAUCAAUCAAAAAAUAAAUCGAGAUUCAGAAACAUACGGGCUAAUGUCUGCUGGUCUUUCUGUCAAUAGUGAGAAGUGAAAUCAUAUUGCACUCAUCGAAAACAUCCCCCGAGUUGUGAGUAAGAACAUUAAACUGUAAAGGGAGACUGCCAUUAGAGGCUUAAGUUGUCUCACUUGGUUGUGUUUUGCUUGAUAAUGGGCCUGUAGGGCUACUCUGUGCACCGCAGGUCCACUUAAUGCUGUGCUGAUCUGUUCGAGCCCAUUACUCAGAGAAUCCUUGUCAUUGCCCUUGCCCUUCUCCAGUACCACACUCCAGCUCUCCCGUAAUGGGAUGUCUGUAUUUACAGCAAGCCCUGAUUACAAAUACAGAGGCAGCGGUAUGGGAUACUGUGUC